rnacentral:snoRNA from 1 species
AUGCAGGUACAGUUACAGUAUAACUGAAGCGUUCGAUUGUCCUUCCCCCUUCUGAAAGUAUUUGAUUCAUUACUGUCUCUGCCUAGUUCUAACAAUGUAAGGCAAAGAUGCUUGGUUUCAAACAU